rnacentral:hammerhead_ribozyme from 1 species
AUCCAGCUGACGAGUCCCAAACAGGACGAAACAUGCGUCCUGGAU